CCAAGACUCACGACAGAGUAUACUUCGCUCUUGUGAAGCUACAGAGUUAGUCUCCUAGGUGUUAAUCCUGAGUGACUGAGAAGAUGUGUCAUAAACGAAUACACCCUCUAGCAUAAAGGGGAAAAGUGCAACAUCAAUCAGUGCGGAAAUCCCAUCCACAGCUGGAGUUCCUAUGCAUUACCCACAAUGUAAUUAGCAGCUAAGAAGAACAGUGAGAGCCGGUCUUCUCUUGGCUUCCUUUCCACGUGCCUGCGGAGCUGGCUGAAGGGAUCAGGAUUAAGGACACCCUGCACUGCAUUGUCAGCUGAUGCCACUGUCACAG
rnacentral:lncRNA from 1 species